rnacentral:lncRNA from 1 species
CAAACAUAGAACUAUAAAAUUGAAUUAGUUAACUGCCUAUAAACUGCGAUCCAUAUAGGUGAAUUAUAUUGGACAUAAUCUUUUAAAGUGAAGCUGAUGCUUUUACAGUUCAUGAAUGCAGUACCAGUUUCAAGCGACUUAUGAACAGUGUUUGUUUCUGAUAGAGUUUUUGUCUCUUUAUUCAAAACAUUAUUUUUACAUUCUCAACA